CCAUAUCCUGGAAGGUUGAGAAGACUUCUUUAUCCGGAGCAGAUCAUUAGAAAUAACAUCUAUUUUGAGGACUAACACCCUGAUAAUCAACUCCACCAAAAUGAUUUAAUGAGGGGGGAUUGAAGACAUAGCAGUUAUUGGUGUUACUAGCAUGGACUGUCAUUGGAUCGGUUGGACGCAAGAAAGGCUUUGUCAUUGAUUUAAGAACUUCUAUAUAUGUAGUUUGUAUACUUUAAUUUGUUGGAAUGGACCUAGAUAAGUGAUAUCACCACCUAAUUAUAAUACAAUACAAAAUGUCCUUCAUUCGACGACAAAAAAAUUUAUUAAUUGAGCUAAGUCGUUUUAA